GGGACACAGCCCUCUGUGCUGUGGGGAAGUGUGAGCAACUUGCAUCUUUUCUAGUCUACCUGGCCAUGGGAGCAAAUACAGAGAUUAGAAGGGGUAGGGAGGUGGUCUCUCUUGCCGGGUACAGGGGGCUGGGAAUAACAGCAUCCUCAGUGUCCCACCCAAAGCCCACCCCAAAGGAGCUGCUGUAGCUACAAUGGCUGUGAUGGCGUUUGUAAGCAGUGGCAGUGGGCAGGUGCAGAUGAGAAAGCAUCAGCAACAGGUAACUACAUGAACAGUAAGUGAAGGGCAGCAUCAAAGGUGAGCAUCUCCCCAACCUCAGGUCACAAGGCACCAGGCCAUGACUCAUGAGCAUUGGUGAAGGCAGCAGUGAGGAUGGUCUGUAAGACCCCACACCCCACCAAGGAUAGAAAGAGAGAGGGUACAGCAGGUGAUAGAACAUGGCAGGAUGACCACUAGGGGUCUGGGAGCACUGAACUGCCAGCCUCUGUGUUCACUGAAGAAAAUCUAUGGACCAGUGUGUAGCAUUCGGGGGAGAGGCAGAGACUGCAGAAAAGAUGAGUCUCUGAGCAACAAGAAAGGACUUCAGUGGAGAGUUUUGGGAAAAACUUAACAAUCACACCUUGGUGUUACUACUCAGUGUAUGGUCUCAUCUUAUAAAAUGAAACUAGAUAAAAUGGUGAAUUUUAUGUUGCAGAAGUUUUACCACAAGUAGAAAGAAAGAAAGAAAGAAAAGAAGGAAA